rnacentral:rRNA from 1 species
CCAAUAGCGUAUAUUAAAGUUGUUGCAGUUAAAAAGCUCGUAGUUGAACUUCGGGGUCUACCCAUUGGUCAGGCUUAAUUGUCUGCACUGGUGAGAUGGAUCUCUACCUUCUGAGGAACUUUCAUGCCAUUUAUUUGGUGUGAUGGGAAAUCAGGACUGUUACUUUGAAAAAAUUAGAGUGUUUAAAGCAGACUAUCGUCUGAAUACAUUAGCAUGGAAUAAUGAAAUAGGACGGACUGAUUCUAUUUCGUUGGUUUCUAGGAUCACCGUAAUGAUUAAUAGGGAUAGUUGGGGGCAUUAGGAUUCAAUUGUCAGAGGUGAAAUUCUUGGAUUUAUUGAAGACUAACUACUGCGAAAGCAUUUGCCAAGGAUGUUUUCAUUAAUCAAGAACGAAAGUUAGGGGAUCGAAGACGAUCAGAUACCGUCGUAGUCUUAACCAUAAACUAUGCCGACUAGGGAUCGGAUGAUGUUAAUUUUUUAAUGACUCAUUCGGCGCCUUACG